rnacentral:rRNA from 1 species
AGAGCGAACGCUGGCGGCAUGCCUAACACAUGCAAGUCGCACGGUCGGGGGGAGACUUCCGGCAGUGGCGGACGGGUGAGUAACGCGUAGGGAUCUAUCCUUGGAUGGGGGACAACCGCGGGAAACCGCGGCUAAUACCGCAUGAUGCCUGAGGGCCAAAGCUCGCGAGAGCGUCUGGGGAGGAGCCUGCGUCCGAUUAGCUAGUUGGUGGGGUAACGCCCACCAAGGCGACGAUCGGUAGCUGGUCUGAGAGGAUGAUCAGCCACACUGGGACUGAGACACGGCCCAGACUCCUACGGGAGGCAGCAGUGGGGAAUAUUGGACAAUGGGCGCAAGCCUGAUCCAGCAAUGCCGCGUGGGUGAAGAAGGUCUUCGGAUUGUAAAGCCCUUUCGGCGGGGACGAUGAUGACGGUACCCGCAGAAGAAGCCCCGGCUAACUCGUGCCAGCAGCC